UAAAUACUCCUUGCGUCCGGAAAUACUUGUCGUCAAAAUGGAUAGAAAGAGAUGUAUCUAGAACUAAAAUACGUCUAAAUACAUCCCCUUUUGUCCAUUUUGAUGAGAAGUAUUUCUGGACGGAGGGAGUAUAUC
rfam:Triticum aestivum genome assembly, contig: Triticum_aestivum_CS42_TGACv1_scaffold_627226_7DS